GAUUUAUGCCUGGCGGCCAUAGCGUUGUGGAACCACCUGACUCCAUGCCGAACUCAGUAGUGAAACGCAACCGCGCCGAUGAUAGUGUGGCAGCUGCCAUGUGAAAGUAGGUCACUGCCAGGC
rnacentral:rRNA from 1 species